rnacentral:rRNA from 1 species
AAUGAACGCUGGCGGCAGGCCUAACACAUGCAAGUCGAGCGCCCCGCCAGGGGAGCGGCCGACGGGCGGGUAACGCGUGGGAACGUACCUUUUGGUUCGGAACAACUCCGGGAGACUGGAGCUAAUACCGGAUAACCCCUAACGGGGAAAGGAUUAUCGCGGAAAGAUCGGCUCGCGUGUGAUUAGCCAGUUGGCUGGGUCACGGAUCACCAAGGCGACCAUCUGUAGCUGGUCAGAGAGGAUCAGCCGCCACACUGGGGCGAGGACACAGCCCAGACUCCUGCGGGAGGGGGCAGUGGGGAAUAUUGGACAAUGGGCGGAGGGCUGAACCAGCCAGGACGCGUGAGUGAUGAAGGCCUUAGGGAUGUAAAGCUCUUUUAUCCGGGAAGAUAUUGACGGUACCGGAAGAAUAAGCCCCGGCUAACUUCGUG